CCUACUGGACAUCUGUGAAAAAGACCGUCAUAGUUCAUCGGAUUUCUCCAGGAUAAAUCAAGAUUCUGAGCGUGAUUUGAACUCGUAUCAUCGGCUUCAUCGAGUGGCGUGCGCUAACCACUACACCAUCGAGAGAUCGUACAUUCUAAAUGCGUCAUGGUAAGUUCUCGAUCCAACCUCGUGGGCAUCUUGGCCGGGCGUGGAUGUCGGCCAAACCACAACCCCCUUCGUGUCGCCUGCCAGCCUUCAUAGGCGCUCACUAACAGCACCUACGCCAACAGCCUGUGUAGGUUACACAGGGCAUACUCGUCUUUGUCUGCGUGCGUGUGCGCUAGUCAAUGUGCGCGUGGGGAGCGGUAGUGGAGCAGUUAGCACGCUGCGCGACGAAACCCGCCAACCUGAAUUAGAGUCCUGCUCGUGGCCACCAACACAAGUGACUAUGAUCUGAACCGGUCCUGGGCUUCCCCUAGGUCUCAAGUGCAGUUUGUAAACAUCGAAACUAACUUGGGAAACAAAGGCGGCCUGCCGUGCGUCGUGCCGGCCUUCAGAGAUGCUCGCUUACAACACUUGCUCCAAAAUUAUUUUAAUGCUACGCGGGAGAUCUUUAUCUUCGUUAUCACAUUCACACGUUGAUUUGCUCAAAACGGUUUGGGCUAGUUUAGUUAAUAUAAUGUCGAUGGUGGAGUGGUGGCGCAGUGGUUAGUGAAACUGCACGAUGAAUUCGGCGAUCUGAGUUCAAUUCCUUGCCACGGUUAGCGUCAGCGGUGAGUGAUAUCUUGGACCGCUCUUGCCCUGUACCUCCUCGCCCUCCUUCAUCAACUCACGCGGACCGGCAUGGUGGCGAUCAUGUGACCCCCAGGACCAACGCAGUGUGGGGAGGCCUUCACCAGGCGAUGAACUGUUAUUGUUUUAGGUAAAGUUAUCGUCGCACGGACUCGUACGUUUACAGGGUACGGAGUUGUCGCGUUUGGCGCACUGCCGUGCCAUUAUUAGCAAUUUUCAAUGCUUUAUCAACUCAUUAUUAACGCCGGCGUGGUGGCCUUCACACAAACCAGCGGUGCACGCUUAUUCCCAUGAUUAUGAACCCGGAUAACGAUCUUGUGAAAGUGAUGAUGAAAAGAAAACAGGGCAGCACCUCCCCAACACCAGCAGCAUUGUGGUUUGCUCCUCUCCAAUGCUGCCCCUGAACCGAUGAUGUGUAGACUCUCUUUUACGGGUUAUACUGGGACUAAUACUGCCGUUAUUCACCCGUAUUGUUGCGCAAAGGGAUAGGGCUUUGUUGACAAUGGCUAGGAUUUGAACCCAUUAGCACACCUGGGAGUACUUAUGUCCUACUGUAUGAGAUUGAAUUAAAGCUGAACGAUGGUAACAACGCUUUAAAACCUUUUGUCAAUUCACUGCUGGAUGAAGGCUGUGUCGACCAUGCAUACUGCUUGACCAUAUUUCAACACACUGACCGUUAACGGGUUGGUGAAGUUUAGCAGGGGCAGGACCGUGUCCUCGCCACUGAAGUUAGCAAUGGAUGGAGCUUGAACCGCGCGAGCCGACGCCAAUUACAUAAUUGUCACGUUGCAAUCAUCUGAAGCAGUGCAAAGUCGACUGACUGCUCGUGCCUGUCAAGAUGGCCCUGACUACAAAAUGGGAACCUUUUUUGCCGGUAUCACAGUCUGAAAAUGUAAGAAUAGGCUUUACCCUUAUUGGCAAUAAAAACAGAUGUCACGAUGUUCAAACA